UAAAACGACGUACAGUGGAUACUAGAACACUCUCCUUCUCCCCCAUAAAAGCUACAGAAUUUAUUUCCAAGCUGUUAGUAGAGCCAAUGGAGAAACCAAAAUAGACUGUGUCUGAGUGGCC